rnacentral:rRNA from 1 species
AGUGAACGCUGGCGGUAGGCCUAACACAUGCAAGUCGAACGGCAGCACAGUAAGAGCUUGCUCUUACGGGUGGCGAGUGGCGGACGGGUGAGGAAUACAUCGGAAUCUACUUUUUCGUGGGGGAUAACGUAGGGAAACUUACGCUAAUACCGCAUACGACCUACGGGUGAAAGCAGGGGAUCUUCGGACCUUGCGCGAUUGAAUGAGCCGAUGUCGGAUUAGCUAGUUGGCGGGGUAAAGGCCCACCAAGGCGACGAUCCGUAGCUGGUCUGAGAGGAUGAACAGCCACACUGGAACUGCGACACGGUCCAGACUCCUACGGGAGGCAGCAGUGGGGAAUAUUGGACAAUGGGCGCAAGCCUGAUCCAGCCAUACCGCGUGGGUGAAGAAGGCCUUCGGGUUGUAAAGCCCUUUUGUUGGGAAAGAAAAGCAGCAGGUUAAUACCCCGCUGUUCUGACGGUACCCAAAGAAUAAGCACCGGCUAACUUCGUG